UACGGAGGGUGCAGGCGUUACUCGGAAUUACUGGGCGUAAAGGGCGCGUAGGCGGUUUUGUAAGUCUGAUGUGAAAGCCCUGGGCUCAACCCAGGAAGUGCAUUGGAUACUGCAAGACUAGAGUACAGGAGAGGAUGGCGGAAUUCCCGGUGUAGAGGUGAAAUUCGUAGAUAUCGGGAGGAACAACGGAGGCGAAAGCGGCCAUCUGGACUGUAACUGACGCUGAGGCGCGAAAGCGUGGGGAGCAAACAGG
rnacentral:rRNA from 1 species